CCCUUAGAUGUUCUGGGCCGCACGCGCGCUACACUGAUGCAUGCAACGAGUUCUACCCUGAGCCGGAAGGCUUGGGUAAUCUGUGAACGUGCAUCGUGAUAGGGAUAGAUUAUUGCAAUUAUUAAUCUUGAACGAGGAAUUCCUAGUAAACGCAAGUCAUCAACUUGCAUUGAUUACGUCCCUGCCCUUUGUACACACCGCCCGUCGCACCUACCGAUUGAAUGGUCCGGUGAAGCCUCCGGAUUGGCGCGCACCUCGGUGCCGCCGAGAAGUUGGCUAAACCUUACCAUUUAGAGGAAGGUGAAGUCGUAACA
rnacentral:rRNA from 1 species